AAUUAGGAAAACUCAGGUUAACAGGUUCAAAGACAUGUUGAGUGAAGGUUCUGUAUUUAUCAUCAAGAACUUCAAAGUUGUUGAAAGCAUUAGGGGAUAUAGACCUAUUCAAAACUCAUUGAAAAUCAUUUUCUUUGCCUCAACUGCAAUCAAGACUUUGUCUGAAGAUAUUGUUGAAAUUUCAAUAAACGGUUUUGAAUUUAUUAAUCCAGAUGUGAUUGACUCAAGGGUGAACAACAACACUGUCUUAUCAGUUCGGCUAAAGCAAAAAUUACCUUAUGGGAAGAACUUGGGGAGAAGUUUUCUCCUUAUUUGUAUAACAAUGAUGCUGGCCCAUAUAUAGUGAUAGUGACUUCUACAGCGGUGAAAGAAUUUCGUGGUGAGGUUAGCUUCUCCACCACCUAUGCAAGCAAAAUAUAUGUAAAUCUUGAUAUAGAUUACAUAAGAUCUUUGGCUCCAAAAUUUUCCACC